AUUGAACGCUGGCGGCAGGCUUAACACAUGCAAGUCGAGCGGAGAUGAGGUGCUCGCACCUUAUCUUAGCGGCGGACGGGUGAGUAAUGCUUAGGAAUCUGCCUAUUAGUGGGGGACAACAUUCCGAAAGGAAUGCUAAUACCGCAUACGUCCUACGGGAGAAAGCAGGGGAUCUUCGGACCUUGCGCUAAUAGAUGAGCCUAAGUCGGAUUAGCUAGUUGGUGGGGUAAAGGCCUACCAAGGCGACGAUCUGUAGCGGGUCUGAGAGGAUGAUCCGCCACACUGGGACUGAGACACGGCCCAGACUCCUACGGGAGGCAGCAGUAGGGAAUAUUGGACAAUGGGGGGAACCCUGAUCCAGCCAUGCCGCGUGUGUGAAGAAGGCCUUAUGGUUGUAAAGCACUUUAAGCGAGGAGGAGGCUACUGAGACUAAUACUCUUGGAUAGUGGACGUUACUCGCAGAAUAAGCACCGGCUAACUACGUGCCAGCAGCCGCCGUAAAAC
rnacentral:rRNA from 1 species